CAUGCAAGUCCAGCGGUNUCUUUGGUUCUUGUACCUGGUGGCGAGCGGCGGACAGGAGACUUAUGCCUAGGAAUCUGCCUGGUAGUGGGGGAUAACGCUCGGAAACGGACGCUAAUACCGCAUACGUCCUACGGGAGAAAGCAGGGGACCUUCUCGGCCUUGCGCUAUCAGAUGAUCCUAAGUCGGAUUAACAUACUUGGUGAGGUAAUGGCCUCACCAAGGCCACCAUCCUUAACUGGUCUAAGAGGAGGAUCAUUCUCGCGGGAACUGACACACGGCCCAUACUCCCCCGGGAGGCAGCACGGGAAAUAUUGGCCAAUGGGCAAAAGCCUGAUCCAUCUUCUGUCCGCGGGGUCGAGAAAGAAAGGUCUUUCUGAUUUGUAAAGCCCCUCUAAAUGGGGGGGGAGGGGCAUUUACUAAAAAGUAGUGUGUUUUGUCCUCACCGACAAAAGAAGCACCGGCUAACUCUGUGCCAGCAGCCGCGGUAAUACAGAGGGUGCAAGCGUUAAUCGGAAUUACUGGGCGUAAAGCGCGCGUAGGUGGUUCGUUAAGUUGGAUGUGAAAUCCCCGGGCUCAACCUGGGAACUGCAUUCAAAACUGUCGAGCUAGAGUAUGGUAGAGGGUGGUGGAAUUUCCUGUGUAGCGGUGAAAUGCGUAGAUAUAGGAAGGACCCCCCGGGGGGGAGGGGCCCCCCUGGGUCUGAUUUUGACCAUGGGGGUGGGAAAGCGGGGGGGACCAACCGGGUUUAGGAUCCCCCGGUAGUCCCCCGCCGUAAAGGAUUGUCAAUUAGGCUGUGGGGAACCUUGAGUUUUUAGGGGCGCAGGUUACCGCAUUUAAUUUGCCCGCCUGGGGAGUACGCCCGCAAGUUUAAAAACUCAAAUGAAUUUGACGGGGCCCCGCACAAGCGGUGGAGCAUGUGGUUUAAUUCGAAGCAACGGGAAGACCCUUCCCAGGCCUUGACAUCCAAUGAAUUUUCCAGAGAUAGCGGAGUGCCUUCGGGAGCAUUGAGACAGGUGCUGCAUGGCUGUCGUCAGCUCGUGUCGUGAGAUGUUGGGUUAAGUCCCGUAACGAGCGCAACCCUUGUCCUUAGUUACCAGCACGUCAUGGUGGGCACUCUAAGGAGACUGCCGGUGACAAACCGGAGGAAGGUGGGGAUGACGUCAAGUCAUCAUGGCCCUUACGGCCUGGGCUACACACGUGCUACAAUGGUCGGUACAGAGGGUUGCCAAGCCGCGAGGUGGAGCUAAUCCCAGAAAACCGAUCGUAGUCCGGAUCGCAGUCUGCAACUCGACUGCGUGAAGUCGGAAUCGCUAGUAAUCGCGAAUCAGAAUGUCGCGGUGAAUACGUUCCCGGGCCUUGUACACACCGCCCGUCACACCAUGGGAGUGGGUUGCACCAGAAGUAGCUAGUCUAACCUUCGGGAGGACGGUUACCACGGUGU
rnacentral:rRNA from 1 species